GUGCCAGCCGCCGCGGUAAUACGAAGGGGGCUAGCGUUGUUCGGAGUUACUGGGCGUAAAGGGCGCGUAGGCGGCGCAUCAAGUCAGGCGUGAAAGCCCUGGGCUCAACCCGGGAAUUGCGCUUGAGACUGGUGUGCUUGAGUACGGGAGAGGAUAGUGGAAUUCCCAGUGUAGAGGUGAAAUUCGUAGAUAUUGGGAAGAACACCGGUGGCGAAGGCGGCUAUCUGGACCGUAACUGACGCUGAGGCGCGAAAGCGUGGGGAGCAAACAGGAUUAGAAACCCGCGUAGUCC
rnacentral:rRNA from 1 species